AUUGAACGCUGGCGGCAGGCCUAACACAUGCAAGUCGAGCGGAUGAAGGGAGCUUGCUCCUGGAUUCAGCGGCGGACGGGUGAGUAAUGCCUAGGAAUCUGCCUGGUAGUGGGGGAUAACGUCCGGGAACCGGCGGUAAUUACGCCUACCUCCUGAGGGGGGAAGUUGGGGGAUCUCGGAACUCCACGUUUCCAGAUAGGCUAGGUCGGGUUAGCUAGUUGGUGGGGUAAAGGCCUACCAAGGCGACGGUCCGUAACUGGUCUGAGAGGGUUAUCAGUCACACUGGAACUGAGACACGGUCCAGACUCCUACGGGAGGCAGCAGUGGGGAAUAUUGGACAAUGGGCGAAAGCCUGAUCCAGCCAUGCCGCGUGUGUGAAGAAGGUCUUCGGAUUGUAAAGCACUUUAAGUUGGGAGGAAGGGCAGUAAGUUAAUACCUUGCUGUUUUGACGUUACCAACAGAAUAAGCACCGGCUAACUUCGUG
rnacentral:rRNA from 1 species